GACGAACGCUGGCGGCGUGCUUAAUACAUGCAAGUCGAACGGAAAGGCCCUGCUUUUGUGGGGUGCUCGAGUGGCGAACGGGUGAGUAACACGUGAGUAACCUGCCCUUGACUUUGGGAUAACUUCAGGAAACUGGGGCUAAUACCGGAUAGGAGCUCCUGCUGCAUGGUGGGGGUUGGAAAGUUUCGGCGGUUGGGGAUGGACUCGCGGCUUAUCAGCUUGUUGGUGGGGUAGUGGCUUACCAAGGCUUUGACGGGUAGCCGGCCUGAGGGGGUGACCGGCCACAUUGGGACUGAGAUACGGCCCAGACUCCUACGGGAGGCAGCAGUGGGGAAUAUUGCACAAUGGGCGGAAGCCUGAUGCAGCAACGCCGCGUGCGGGAUGACGGCCUUCGGGUUGUAAACCGCUUUCGCCUGUGACGAAGCGUGAGUGACGGUAAUGGGUAAAGAAGCACCGGCUAACUACGUG
rnacentral:rRNA from 1 species